UUUUAAGUUUGUAUAUAUCAUUUUAAUUUGCAAAAGAAUGUGGUCCCAGGUAAACAUAAUAAUAUAUUUGCGUAUAUAAUAUGUUUGUAGCUAAUUUAGGAAGCUAAUCUACUUUGCCGAGUUGUUCUUUUAGUAUUUAUCUCAAUUAUUUACUCGUUUUAUGGGGACGCUUUUAGUUUUUGAGCUAGAUAUUGUAACCUCUCGGUGAGUUUUUCUUAGAACAAAGGAAUUUCUGUGUUGCUAGUAAUUUUGAGCUCGUAGGUGUAGAAAGUACUUAUAGUGUUAGCAUUUGAAAAUGCGCGCGCGCGUGGCAUUUAUAUUUUAGCGGGGUUUUGAAGAAAUUUUAAUAUGACUUGUUAUGUUUUUCUCUGUAAUAAGUUCUGAACAGUUUCGUCUCGAUAGGUCACUGCGGGUGAUAAUCUGAAGACAGCUGUAGCUCCAACAGGGUUGUUGAGCGUAUUUGUGGGUACAAGUUUAUUGUUUGAUAGAUUCGUCCAGAUAGGUCACUGCGGGUGAUAAUCUGAAGACAGCUGUAGCUCCAACAGGGUUGUUGAGCGUAUUUAAUUAUUUGAUGGAUUCGUCCGGAUAGGUCACUGCGGGUGAUAAUCUGAAGACAGCUAUAACCCAAACGGGGUUGUUGACUGUAUUUAAUUAUUUAAUGGAUUCGUCCAGAUAGGUCACUGCGGGUGAUAAUCUGAAGACAGCUAUAACUCAAACGGGGUUGUUGACUGUAUUUUAAUUAUUUAAUGGAUUCGUCCAGAUAGGUCACUGCGGGUGAUAAUCUGAAGACAGCUAUAACCCAAACGGGGUUGUUGACUGUAUUUAAUUAUCUAAUGGAUUCGUCCAGAUAGGUCACUGCGGGUGAUAAUCUGAAGACAGCUAUAACUCAAACGGGGUUGUUGACUGUAUUUUAAUUAUUUAAUGGAUUCGUCCAGAUAGGUCACUGCGGGUGAUAAUCUGAGGACAGCUGUAGCUCAGACGGGAUCUUCGAGCGUAUUUUUGUGUAAUUUAAUAGUGCAAUCUUGAGAGAAAUUGGGGCUAGCAUUGCUGGAAAAGGAAAACCGGGGAAUGUUAUUACUGUUCACACCUUUCUCUCUCUUUCGUGACAGAAUACUUCUAACCGUGUUUACCUUUUCUAGCAAUGACAAGCAAAGAAGGAUAACCGAUUGGACUGGGGAGGAGUGGAACAUUGGCAGCACACUACCGUCCAAUCGGUAAGUAUUUAUAAUGUUUAGUUAUUAGGUAUUUAUUUGGAAUUGGUUUAAUUUGGUGGUAAAGUUAUUCUAUUAUGUAAUAAAGUAUUUUGUUUUACAGGUUUUGUACAUACGACAAA